UAAAAGUACAAAAAAAAAAUAGCCCAGCAUGGUGGCGCACGCCUGUAAUCCCAGCUAUUCGGGAGGCUGAGGCAGGAGAACUGCUUGAAGAGGUGGAAGUUACAGUUAGCCAAGAUCCUGCCACCACACUGCAGCCUGAGGGACAGCGUAAGACUCCAUCUUGAAAAAAAAAAAAAGCUAAUAAACGUAUCUACCUGAAUGAGCCUCCUGCCGAGCAAACUCACUGAAGUUUAAAACGGAACCUAAGGGCCAGGCAUGGAGGCUCACAGCUUUUAAUACCAGCACUUUGAGAGGCCAAGGUGGGAGGAUCACUUGAGCCUGGGAAGUUGAGGCUGCAAUGAGCUGUGAUUGUGCCACUGUACUCCAAAGUAGGUGACAGAGCAGGAUCCUGUUUUUUUUGUUUGUUUGUUUUUAACAAAAACAAAACCCAAGGCUGGGCACAGUGGCUCACACCUGUAAUCCCAGAACUUUAGGAGGCAGAGGUGGGUAAGGUCAGGAGUUCGAGACCAGGCUUGCCAAUUUGGUGAAACACCAUAUCUACUAAAGAUUCAAAAAUUGGCUGGGUGUGGUGGCACUCGCUUGUAGUCCCAGCUACUUGGGAGGCUGAGGCAGAAGAAUCACUUGAACCCAGGAGGCGGAGGUUGCAGUGGACCAAACCCAAAACAACAAACAAAAAGAAACAAAAAACUGAACCUAUCAACUUCCCCUCCAACAACAAACCUGACCUUCCCUCAUCUCUUGGUCUUGAGCCUGGGAACCCUCUUCUCCAAACUUAAGACUACCUCACCUCCCUCCCACAUCUAAGCAGCUGCUACAUCCUGCUCUCUUUAACUCUGCCAUAUCCCUCCUUAUACACAUCUCUCCUUUCCAAUGACCCUAUCACACCACACCCCCAUGUGAAUUUCAGUCCUCAUCACUUUGCACCUUUUCUGCUAGCAUCUAGUGCCCUAUCUAGUCCUUUCUCUCUCUGCUUCACUCUACCCAAGUGGCCAUGUUAUGCUUCCAAAAGCACGUCUCUGACAUCUUUCCUAAAUAAACAAACUUUAGUGGUUUCUGCAAAGGUCCAAGCUCCCUGACCUGACAUUUGAAGGGCAACCUGAUUCCCCACUUCUCCCCUGCACUUAAGCCACGUCCUAGCCUCACUCCUGCUCCACGUGCCUGCACAGACCUCCAGGUCCCCUGCCUUUGACACUGAGUUCAUGCCAGUCCCACCAACUCUCCCCAGUCUCCACAACUGAACACUUAACUCAAAUGCCAACCUCUCCUCUAAUCCCUUUAAGAAGAAACAACCUCCCCCUUCUCUAAUGCCCACAUUACUGUACCUUUCUUGUGCCACUAUCACUUUCACCAUUCAUUAUGGAUCUAAUGACUCCCUUACACACCAGAGGAGGGACCAUGUUAUGGUUCUAUCUUUAAAGCCCUUUGCCUGCCUCUAGUUAAAAGACUUACAUGUGGCCAGCACUCAACAAAUAGUAGUUGAAGAAUAAAUGAAAGAUCACACUCAUGAGACAAAGCCAGCCGAUCUGUUUGCUAGACCAAUCGUGAUCAGCACACUAGGUAAGUAUGCAUGGAAAGAAUGGUAGAGAGGCAGCUCUGGCAAGAGAGAAGAGAUGACUGCUGACCCCACAUCAAGGAAGGGGCGAGGAAAACUAAGAAGCAGCUGAGGCAGCAGUAGAGAGGGAGUGCAACACCAGAGGCGGCAAUGAACCCAAAGCCUCAAGAAUGGGUCAGCUUCCUGCAGGCGAGAGAGGAGAAUCCACUUGAUAAAACUUCCUGUCAUCAAAGGUUAGGGGCAAGGGCCUUUGACAGCUGCAAGGGAAGCUUUUCGUCAUUUAGAAAAUUCAUUUAUGUGAAACAGAUCAUUUCUCAAUGAUGGCAAGUUAAUGAGGCAUCCUGAAUCUACCCUUAAACUCAGUCCUUGGAUGAGUAUAACUAAACUCCAGACACCAAAAGAAAUAUCAGAAUGACAAAAGCCAGAAGACCAAAAAGAUAUACAGACUUUUUUUUCUCCAUAAUGAAGGAGGCCUAUUUAAGCUAGUACCUUAAAAAAAUAGAUAAGGGGUGGCCAUCAGAUAGGUUUUGGCUAAAUCACUUUCAUUAUUAAUUGAGUGAAAAUAUAAACAACAUGAUAAGUAAGUUUUACUCCACAUAUUUAACAUUCUAAAUCCAACAAUGAGCAAAUCCACAUUCUUCACAGGUGCAAACAAAACAUUUAUGCAAAAUAACCAUACACCACUCCACAAAGAAAGUCUCUACAAAUUUCAAAGAUAUGUAUCUUUCAAAACCUUUGAAGUCUUAGAGAUUUAAGUCUAUAGGCUGUGAGAAUAUGUCCUAAGGGAAAAAACCCUUUCAGUUUUAAAAUAAUGAUCAAUAAGAAUAUAAAUUUCACUGACUCUGCCUAACCAACAGGCCAACAUUUGGUCACAGUAUAAUUAAUUUCACCCUUAAUGUUACUGUUGAAAGUAUUUAAAUGCCCAGGCACUGACUCCAACCCACACAUUCCUCCCUGAUCCCACAUUCUGAGUAGAUCAGGUAUUUUCACACUUGGUUCAUCUUCAGUGAAGACUGUAAUGAAAUCUUUAAUUUGAAAAAAAAAAGAGUGGAAGUCCAGCACUCACUGCAUUAUUGGCUGCCCUGGAAGCUCAGGGCAAAGAGCAGUCAAACAACAAAUGGCAACCUCAGCUCCUUCAAGCAUAAGUAAUCUGCUAAUUUCAGAAACUACCAGCUCAUCUAAAAAGUGACCAAUUUACAUGUAAAAAUGCUUUCCGUGGUUAGGUGCAAGCUUCCUGGGAAUCGGAAAUGUUAUUUUCAUUGCACAAACUCUCAGGUUUAUGGGCUGCCUGGCCUUUUGAUUAUACCAUCAUUUUAAAAGUAUAAAUUUUAGAACAAGUUUUAUUUCAUGUCCAAGAUGUUGGAAGAGGCCUCUUUGGGAGCCAAGUACUCUCAGGAAGACAAUGACUACUGUUAGUCCUUUUUAUUUCUUAAUCUGUCUCCACAACCAGCUAAAACUCAAGCAUAAAAGAAGGCAGUGUGGUGCUAAUUUGGUUAGUUAAUUCACAGACUGUUUACUGAGCAUCUGCUCUGUGCCCAGCACUGUUUUAGAUACAAGGGAUAUGACUGUGAAUAAAACAAGGCUCUGUUCUCAGAAGAAAAACACCUGUAAUCAGACACACCUGGGAUUACAUUCUGGCUGGGUCACUUACUAGUUAUGUCACCCUGGGCAAUUAUGUAACAGCUCUGAGCUUCAAUUCCUCACCUACUAAAGGAAAACAACAAUGUUAAAGGCUGUUGUGAUUUAAAAAGGAAAUACAGCAUAGCAAGCUCCUUAGCUCAGAACAGGCAUGGAAUAAAGACUGGCACCCUCCCUUCCCGAAAUAAGAGAGCAGAUAAUCAUCAAGUGCUUCAAACUGGCACCAGGGACCACCUGAAACAGCAUCAGAAGAAGGUAUCCUGUGCCCUCUGGUCCACUCCCAGGGUCUCCUCUCUGCCAAAUUACAACUUAUACCCUCCUUCAAUCUGUUCCAGGACAGUUCUAUUCUUGGAGUAUACCGCUUGGAGCUCUUCAAAGAAAAGCAUCCAAUUAAACUAAUUCACCCAAGAGGUACAUGUAAGCUUCAAGCUGCCAACCCUCUUGAUAUUUUCAUUUGAAAGACAAAGCUCUAGAUACUGCAGAGUUGUCAUAUUUGGGGGCAGGGCAAAUUGCUAAAGUGUCAUCUCUACAUUAAGUAUACAGAAUGCACUGCUAGGUAAGUGGAUAAAUCAAGUUUCAUUUUUACCACCUCGAGUUUUCAUAAUUUACAGGAAAAACACAUUCUUGCUGAUCAAGGUUACUGUCCAUGUCUGGUUUGUGUUUCCAGCUUACCAGAGGCUCAGCCUUUCAAAGUGAUUUACCAGUGAGCUAAUCUCAAAAUCAUCAUCAGUUUCUCUUUAACUCUGCCUUUCAGCUUAACUGGAAUGUAGUCCUUACAGCCAAACAGAAAUGAUUGGUGUUUAAAGAAGAAUAUAUAUCAAAAUAAAUUUAUUUUUCUGCUAGCAGUUAACACUCAUGUUGUCUAGUGCUUCAGUGAGACUCUAGGAUGUAAUUAUUUGUCAGAAAUUUUAAUAAAAUGAACUUUUAAUUAUUUCCAUUAGGAAAUAUUACUAGUUGUAAUACUGAAUCAAAUAAAAUUGAGAGAAAAGGCAAAGACACAAAUAUUAGCAUUAGUUAACUAAUAUGCCUGGUAGUAAGGGGGAUAUACUUUCUAUAAUCCUAAACCAAGGUCAUCCAUUUAUUUAAAAAGCACUUACAACUUUCUAUAUUAAAACAACUAUGAAACAAUAAAGGAUGAAACAUUUUUGUAAUAACAAAAAGUGAUAGAGACAGAAAGCAUGGAUAAAAGGAUAUCCAAGAAAACAGAGUCAUUGCUGGAAACACUGCUUUUCACUUGAACUGUAGGAGUGAGCUGCUUUCUUUAAUGAGUGGGGGCUAGGAGAUGCUGGGGAAAUGAAACGGGAAUUCUUAGGAAGGCUCAUCUACCAGCCUAAGGCAGGAGCUGGUAAAUGCUGACUUGGGGAAGCAGGCUUGUGAAAUGCAGCUCAGCCCACAUUAUUUAUUAGCAUAAUUAUUAAUAAUAAUUACUAUCAUUCAUUGAGCCCCUAUCAUGUUCCAGGCAUUGUACUUUAUCAUCUUCACAAAAACCCUUUGGGGAGGUGGAUAUAACGUCAUUACUUGACAGAUUUUAAAAACAGACUCAGAGAGGGUGAUUAACAUGCCCAAGCUCACACAACUGUGGGCCAGAAUUUGAGUAUCAGAGCCAGAAUUCGUGCUCAGGACCUGAAUCCAGGACUGUUCCCAAGAAGCCACAGUGCAUCACAACAUGCUUGCUGGUUGUAGUCAUCACGCUGCCUCCUGCUGACCCAGAGAGCCCCCUGCAGUGAGCUUUCCUCCUCUUCACAUCCACAAGUUUGUUGCCCAAGUAUCUCUUCAGAUAGUUAUGAUUUUGCUGCAAAAAGACAGCUUUCAAGUCUAAGGCAUAAACUGAGUUGCAGGCUUGGCCUUCUAAAAAUGAACUGAACAAGGAAAUAUCCAAGAGACCCAAUCCCCACAUCUUUCAAUCUGCUUUCCAAGCAGAAGACACUUCUGCAAUAAAACUACUAUGUGAUCCAAGAAUGCUGCUUCUGAGUGUAUAUCCAAAGAACUGAGUGUAUAUCCAGAGAUAUCUGCACACCCAUAUUUACUGCAGCUUUAGUCACAGUACCCAAGGAAGGCAUGGAAGCAACUUACGAGUCCACUGACAGACAGAUGAAUAUGGACAAUGCGCUAUAUGCAUACAAUGGAAUAUAGUUCAGCAUUAAAAAGAAGGAAAUCUUGCCAUUUGCAACAUGAAUGAACCUGGAGGACACCGUGCUAAGUGAAAUAAACCAGACUUGGAAGGACAAGUACUAUAUGGUUUCCACUUACAUGAGAAAUCUAAAAUAGUUAAACUCAUAGAAGCAGAGUAGAAUGGUGGCUACCAGGGCUGAGGGAAACGGAAAACAGGGAAGUGCUUAAAGGGUACAGAGUCUCUGCCAGGUGCAGUGUCUCAUGUCUGUAAUCCCAGCACUUUGGGAGGCCAAGGCAGGCAGAUCACGAAGUCAGGAGUUUGAGACCAGCCUGGCCAAGACAGUGAAACCCCGUCUCUACUGAAAAUACAAAAAAAAAAAAAAACCUAGGUGGGCACUUAUAGUCCCAACUACUCAGGGAUCUAAGGCAGGAAAAUCUAUUGAAUCCAGGAGGCAGGCAUUGCAGUGGCCUGAGAUUGCUCCACUGCACUCCAGCCUGGGCAACAGAGGAAGCUCUCUUCUCAAAAAGAAAAAAAAGGGGGGGGGUACAAAGUUUCAGUUACACAAGAUAAAUCCUAGAAAUGUGUACAGUUUGGUGCCUGCAAUUAACAAUACUGUAUUUACUCACAAAGUUGUAUACAUUAAAUAAGAACAGCUUUCCGUAUUGUCAAUCAUACUUAAGUGUUUUGUGGGGUUCCCCCCCAUCCCCUGAGAGAGGGUCUUGCUCUCCCAGGCUUGCAGUUUCAAACUCCUGGACUCAAGCGAGAUCCUCCUGCCUCAACCUCCCAAGUAGCUAGCACUACAGGCAUAUGUCACCAUGCUGCCUAAUUAUUUUAUUUUUUGUAGAGAAAGGCUUCGUUGUCCAGGCUGGUCUUAAACUCCUGGCCUCAAGGGAUUACAGGUGUGAGCCACUGCACCUGGCAAGUGUUUUUUUUGUUUGACACAAAGUCUCACUCUGUUGCUCAGGCUGGAGUGCAGUGGUGUGAUCUCCGCUCAGUGCAACCUCCACCUCCCAGGUUAAAGUGAUUCUCCUGUCUCAGCCUCCCGAGUAGCUGGAACUACAAGCAUCUACCACCAUGCCCGGCUAAUUUUUUUUGUAUUUUUUAGUAGAGACAGGGUUUCACCAUUUUGACCAGGCUGGUUUCAAACUCCUGACCUUAAGUGAUUCGCCCACUUCGGCCUCCUAAAGUGCUAGGAUUACAGACAUGAGCCACCGUGCCUGGCCUAUUUUGUUUUUAAAGGGAGAGACUUUAAGGGCCCAUCGUGUGAUUUGGUGAAGUAAAGUGUUGGAUGGCCACUCAUCUGUUUGCUGCCUUGAAGAUUCUGAGUGUUUCAGUAAACACAGUUUAAGUUGCUUGGUAAAAUUCCAGGUUUUCUUUUAAAUCAACCUCUUGCUGUGGAGCCUUCUGGGUCCCAACACAGCAGAGCACAGAGGACAGAUGGUCUGUCCUGGGCCAGUGGAGACACUUCCAACAGGCCGUGGAGAGGAUGUUAGGGCAUCUAUUGGUAGUCUGAAAUGGAACCAUAGGGUCUGGGAAUUUGAAGUACCAGACACCCAGAUGUCAGAGUGUUCUCAAGAAAUCUUAUUUUUCCCAGUAGUUUCAUGUCCCUGUGGAGAGGAGAGGAGAAACAAGAGGCCAAAUAAUCUUCCUAAUAUAAAAGCUUUGCUUUUCCCUUCAUCUGAAUUAAGAUAAUGAAGAGAAAAACUAUUCAUUAAAGCACACUUUCAACAGAGGGGAGGAGAGUGGGCCUGAGCAAGCAGGGGAUGGUUUACAACCAAGGCAGGCUCUGCCCCACAGGCCUCAAGCUCCCCACUGUGUUCCCAAAGCACACAGCAGCAGCGCACCGAAGGCCCACAUUCUGUGCAAAUCCAUACAGGUGUGUUUUCAGCGUAGAUAAGUAAUUACCCAAUUCCACCUCAUGUGACCUCCCAUGAAGUUAGGGUGGAGAAAAUGAAAAAUGAACUGAUUCACCCCAGCAAGCUCCAGCGCCUCCCGGUCAGCAGCAGCGAGGGCUCCUGGAACAUCUAACAGAAACACUGCAUGGCUGACCCCAGGCCCAGUGCUGGGAGAAAGCCAUUCAUCAAAGAAACUAACAUAGAGUCCAGCUCCGGCUCAAAUCUAUAACUCCAGCGACAGGAAAUGGUUAGUAGUACAAUAAUAAAACUUGACUUCAGACAGUAUGUGUCUUGAAGGGCUAUGCCAUCCCCUUGUCGUCUCUGGGGCCUCAGUUUCCACAUCUAAAGUAAAGGGGUUAGUUGGGAGGCGGAGGCUACAGUGAGCCCAGAUCGCACCACUGCAUACCAGCCUGGGUAGCAGAGCGAGACUACGUCUCGAAAAAAUAAAAUAAAAAUAAAGUGAAGGGGUUGAGCUCCGUGACCUCUAACUUCUCUUCCAGAAUUUAAAUUCUAUCAUUUUGAUAUGAUUUCUCCAAUCUCCAUUUCUUUUAAUCUCUUAAGGUUUGAGGCCUGCUUAAAGUCAGAAUAAAUGGAGUACAAAACAAGAGUGGAUAAUUUAGCAUUGAGUAAUUACUUCUGAAGCAAGAAAUUAUAAGCUUUCCUUCCUUAAUAGAGACAUUAGGCCGGGCACGGAGGCUCAAGCCUGUAAGCACUUUGGGAGGCCGAGGCGGGUGGAUUACAAGGUCGGCAGAUCGAGACCAUCCUGGUCAACAUGGUGAAACCUCGUCUCUACUAAAAAUUACAAAAAAUUAGCUGGGCACGGUGGCGUGUGCCUGUAAUCCCAGCUACUCAGGAGGCUGAGGCAGGAGAAUUGCCUGAACCCAGGGGGCGGAGGUUGCAGUGGGCCGAGAUUGCGCCAUUGCACUGCAGCCUGGGUAACAAGAGCGAAACUCCGUCUCAAAAAAAAAAAAAAAUAGAGACAUUAAUGUUUUCUGUCGAUAAUGGACCAGGCCAGGGGUGUUCAACCUUUUGGCUUCCCUGGACCACAAUGGAAUAAUAAUAAUUGUCUUGGGCGACACAUAAAAUGCACUAACACCAACAGCAGCGACGAGCUUUAAAAAAAAAUCGCAAAAUGAUCUCAUAAUGUUUUAAGAAAGUUUACAAAUUUGUGUUGGGCCACAUUCAAAGCCAUUCUGGCCACAUGUGGCCGUGGUCCCAUGGGCUGAACUAGCUUGGACUAGGCUCUUUCCAUUUACUGGAAUUCAGCCACUAAAUGGGGUAGGGUUACAUUCCUCCAUCCUUCAGCUGCUAUUGCUUCAAGUGACAAAAUGACAGCCUCUGCCUCAUAAUAAACUGCCAAUCAUGUAACUGGUCAAAAUCAAAUCAUUAGCUAAUUCUGCAUAAUGAAUUUCCUAACAUUGUUGGUUUUUUGGUAUCUUGAUGGGCACAGUCUAUGAAUCCGGACCUUGCAUUGUCAGGCACUGCUCUUUUGUGUGCAUCUCUACUACUGCCAGUGUAACCUUUCAUACCUGGACGUACACACCCAAUGGCACAGAAAGGACAUAUUCCCCAACCUUUCCUACCAAGGAGAUAGCACAUUUUUUAGCCCAAUUGGAAACACAGUUCUCCCCACACCGUGUCAACAAGAGAGAAGGGUGGAAUUGCCUUUUGCUUUCUGGUUUUAUUUUGGGGAGAUUGCCUAGUAAUGACAAAGCAGCUACAAGGAAGGAAAGUCGCAAGGCUCUUUACCAGCACCUCUGUUUGUAAAAGAGCCAGCGUUUUUAUGUGGAGAUUGAUUGGGAUUCAGUGUGAGGUGGCUGUUAGGCAGAGAUGAACUAUGCCGGGGCUUGUCUUAUGACCUGUGACCCACUCUUGUUCUUUGCUUGCAGGGGGAGGAGAGAGCCAUGGUAGAUGAAAUGGUCCAGUUACCUGGCACUUCAGGCCCUGCACAGAUGUUAGAUGGGCCACCUCCCUUACCACUCUGGUUCUGACAGAAAUGGAAAUAAAAACCACUACUAAACUCCAUUUCCCAUCCACCUGAUAGUCAAAAAUGUACAUGUUGGAUAAUACCGAAUUGCUAGGAACACACUGCUGCUAGGAAUGUAACUAGGUGCAGCCAGUUGUGGGGUUAAUUUGGCAGUAUUCAAUACACCUUUACUUGCAGGCUUUCAUCUCCCCAGAAAAACACCAGCACAAUUGUACAAAGAGAGGGCAGCAUUUGUUUGUCACAUCAAAACUAAGAAAAAUAACAUGACUGCCAAUAAAUAAGGAAAUUAACUAAUAAACCAUGAUCCAUCCAUCCAAUCUGUGGAAUAGUGCAGUAGUAAUAAUAAAGUACACCUACAUGUACUAAACAUGUAAGCUCUCUAAGACCAAGUGUCGAUUGAAAAAAGAAAGCGCUGAGGAAAAAUACAUUGACUACGACACCUCUUAUGUUAAAAAGCCAAGCAAACUGCAUUUCUACAGAAACAACAUAUGUAUGUAAUUUCAUAGCAAAAGGCCUGUAAUGGCACACAUCAAGAAUUUUGCUUUUGAGGCAACUGUUAAAAUAAAUAAAAUGAGGAAAAAGUAGGCCAUAACACAGUACUAUGCCAAGAUUAUAACUGGCAAAAAAAAAAAGUGUAUUUUUUUAAAGUAACUUGUCAGAAACUACAGAGAAUAAAAACAGCAGUGUUCUCUUCAUUUAAGAAAAAAAUAAAGCUGUCUUAACUAUACAUUGAGAAACACAUUCCGAAAAACCAGUUUUCCAGUUAUUUCUGACUGUUCUUUUAAAUCUCUGAUUUUAAAGGUAUUUCUUAGAUGAAUAAAAGUACAAAAGAUAGUAGUGUAGCAAGCUUCAUCUUGAUGAAAACAUUAAUGGCUGAUUGCAAAUUAUUAUGAAAGAUGAAAACAGGCCAGGUG